rnacentral:rRNA from 1 species
AUUGAACGCUGGCGGCAUGCCUUACACAUGCAAGUCGAACGGCAGCGGACCUUCGGGUGCCGGCGAGUGGCGAACGGGUGAGUAAUAUAUCGGAACGUACCUUUCAGUGGGGAAUAACGUAGCGAAAGUUACGCUAAUACCGCAUAUUCUGUGAGCAGGAAAGCAGGGGAUCGCAAGACCUUGCGCUGAUUGAGCGGCCGAUAUCAGAUUAGCUAGUUGGUGAGGUAAAGGCUCACCAAGGCGACGAUCUGUAGCGGGUCUGAGAGGAUGAUCCGCCACACUGGAACUGAGACACGGUCCAGACUCCUACGGGAGGCAGCAGUGGGGAAUUUUGGACAAUGGGCGCAAGCCUGAUCCAGCCAUGCCGCGUGAGUGAAGAAGGCCU